GAAUUUGAAAACUUGGCUAACCUAUCGGCGUCACUAUUAGUUGCUCGGCCUUCAAAAGUAAAAGUACAAUUGAACCACUACAAGAAUCCUGUUAAUCCAUGACGAAUUUCUGAUGACAUUCUCGGAAUCUGUCACAGAUCGACCAGCUGAGCCUAAACUUUUUUUUCUAAACCAUCCAGACCGUCACGGACUGCUCGUGCUGAUGUGUCCUGCUUCCCUCGAUCCUGUGUGUUGCCGAAGCUGCUUUCUGAUUGGUUGAUACGACUCUCCCACGGAUCACGCAUAAGCACCAUCCAUUCCCCGGGAUCCAACGGUAGGGACAACCGCCUCUCUCUUUCUCCUUGCUUCUCCACCCCGAGCCGUCGGCUGCUCUUCCACCUAGAGGAACGAAGUCCCCCGGUCCCCCCGGUUUUCUCUCCCACCUUCCGUGAUCUCCGCCGUCCCACCUCCCACGAUUCAUUUGCAGGUCGAGGAAAGGGACGUCGCCCCACCGCACCUGCCGGAUCUGCUGAGCCAGCGGCCGGAUCCACCGAGCCAGUGGCCGUAUCCGCCGAGGCAGUGGCCGGAUCUCGAUCUUCUAGUCCUCCCCGCCUACUCCUCCGUCGGCGGCAGGCAGCAGAAAGGCGCGCGCGACUGCUCCGACCAGAGGAAGGCGCGAGGUGCGACGCGACGACGCGUGUUCGAGCCGGGCACGACACGGGCGGGCACCACCUCACCGGGGCGCGACCACGGCAGCCAACAUCGGCGCCCAAAUCGCAUCCACCGAACCCAAGCGCGGGCUCCGGUGGGCGUGCGGUUCUGCGUUCAACAGGAGAGCGUGCGCGAGAAAGAGCGCUGCUAGCGUCUUCCAGUGAACCCCAAAGAGACCGGAGGAGGGGAUGACCAAGGGCGAGGUUCCGUUGAUCGGCAUCGACCUUGGGACGACCUACUCCUACGUCAGUGUGUGGCAGCAGGUCGAGAUCAUGGCCAACGACCAGAGCAACCGCAUACCACACCACGCCCUCCUACAUCGCCUGAACCAGCUGGCAAUGAACCCCACCAACACUGUUUCCGCUAGAAACCCAUUGGUGUAGUAUUUUAACAGCUGCUCAGGAGCUGCCUGUACCAGAGCAAGAAUGACAUCAUCGACUUCUACCUGCUUCAUCUCAAGGACAAACCUCAUACAACCCAUGGUGCUGCAUUUGACACGCACAUUUGUAAUUUGUUAGUGAUUAUUGUGUGUAAUGUCUGAUGUUUUGGACAUUUUUUUGUAAAUGAUGGCAAUGUGGCUUCA